rnacentral:rRNA from 1 species
AUUGAACGCUGGCGGCAUGCUUUACACAUGCGAGUCGAACGGUAACAGGCCGCAAGGUGCUGACGAGUGGCGCACGGGUGAGUAAUGCAUCGGAACGUGCCCAGUCGUGGGGGAUAACUACUCGAAAGAGUAGCUAAUACCUCAUACGAUCUAUGGAUGAAAGCGGGGGACCGUAAGGCCUCGCGCGAUUGGAGCGGCCGAUGUCAGAUUAGGUAGUUGGUGGGGUAAAGGCUCACCAAGCCAACGAUCUGUAGCUGGUCUGAGAGGACGACCAGCCACACUGGGACUGAGACACGGCCCAGACUCCUACGGGAGGCAGCAGUGGGGAAUUUUGGACAAUGGGCGCAAGCCUGAUCCAGCAAUGCCGCGUGCAGGAAGAAGGCCUUCGGGUUGUAAACUGCUUUUGUACGGAACGAAACGGCUCUGGUUAAUACCCGGGGCUAAUGACGGUACCGUAAGAAUAAGCACCGGCUAACUACGUG